GUGCUUGCUUUGACAGCACAUAUACUAAAGUUGGAAUGAUACAGAGAAGAUUAGCAUGGCCAUAAGCUGCUAAAAAAUAAUAAUUUUUUUU
ensembl:snRNA RNU6-1338P RNA, U6 small nuclear 1338, pseudogene